GCCCAGCAUCUCACAUUCUGACAAGGAGACCUCCGCAGUCACUGUGCUCUCUGGAAAUGAAGAACAACCCCGACUCCCUUAAACAUCUGUCCUUCCGGGGAUCCAGGUGAAGCAACUGAGGUUCAGACUUGCACAAUUUUUCCUGAUGAGUCGUCCAAAGUGGUCCAUCACAGCAGCUUCUUGAGCUAAACGUCAACUCUGUGCGGCCGUCCAUUACUACCUUCUGCUCACUCACCUGUACACAGCUUCCUAGGGGACAGAGCAAUACUUGCCUGUGACCCAUAAGGGGCAUUUGGAGACUAAAAUUGACAGCAGCGAUUUACAAAUAACUACAGUGGGAGAAGCCCAGUGCGGUUCCUGGCGUUUGCCGCACACCUGCACUGAAAAACCGGUGCUCCAGCUCUCAGCGCAGGAUGCUCAGCACUCAACAUUCCAUCCACCUCUUUAAAUGUCUUCUGAAAACUCCAUGGUCUCUGUGAAAAUUAUGGCUUUGUCUUUCAAGCUCCAUUAAAAAAUCCAUAUUUUGAGGAAUUGUUUGAAGAUCUUUUCCCAAGCAGAAAGAUAAUAUUUUACACGAAGAAGCCUAACCCUUCUGCCGACAUGAAAACCCUGACAAUCACACUUCCAUCUGACUGAUGCUUGGAAGCCACAUGUUGUGACUUCCAUAGAGAUCUGACCAAAACAUCGAAAAAUGUAACUAUAUAUUGUUUCCCUCUUUGACCUCUCAUAAAUACAAAUAAAGUCUUAAAAAAAAAAAAACACGCACAGGUAAGAGGGACACCUCAUCCCACACCGGCAGCAUAAGAGGGCAUCCAGACCUGUGGUUUUAGUGUCACACUCAGUGCCUAAUCUCCCUGCAGCCCAUUGGAAGGUUGGGGAGAGAGUCCCCAAGAGGCUGCCCACCUUUCCAGAAGUAGCUGACCGCUUGUUCAUAGCCCACCUUCACUAGUAAGGUGCAAAGUCUACUUUCUCUGCAAGCCACUGGCAUCAGACUCAUAAAAAUAACAAAUGAAAAUAUCCACAUUAUUGAAGACAGUCAUUUUCACCUCUUAACCUUGCCAUCCAUUGUCUUUGACAAUUGUUGUCUUUCAACUUGACUUAAAGGGGCUUAUUUCUUCAUUUAUUUGUAUCUGCUUUCCUAGACUUGGGGCUUAGGGCUGCUGAGGUUGUAACCGAGUUCCCACUGUAUUAAUACAAAGAAAGCCUUACCUCGGUGGUUCUCAAGGGCGAUCCUCAGACCUGUAGCAUCAGCAUCAUCUUGUUAUAAAUGCAAAUUCUGGGGCCCCACCACCCUGGAUCUGUAGAAUCAGAGUCUGGGAAUGAAGUGGAGAAUGGGGAGAGCCAAGCCCUCUAGGUGAUUCUGAUGCACACUCAAGUUUGCAAACACUGCCCUAAAGUAAUGGUUACUACUCGUAUCACUUGGGGACCUUUCCCAUGCCAGCUCCCCAUGUCCAGAGAAUGGGAUUUACUAGGUCUGUGAUGGGCCCAGAAUAUUUUAAAAAGUUUUAAAAAGCUCCCUUGUGAUUCUUAGACUCAGUCCUAAAUAAGAAUUACCAUGUGGUCCCCCAUGAGAGCUUUAAAGUAUGCAUCUGGCCAACUACCUUGUUUCCACAGUAUUUUAUUUCAAAGAAAGAAUGUGGGAGGGCUGGGUGAUGGAUAGACAGACCCAGAGAAGAAAAUAGACAGGAGAUCAGCUUUGCUUCUAGUUAUAAUAGCCAAUACAUUUUAGAAGCUUAAUUGGAAACCUUCUCAGAACCAAGAGAUAACUCCAUAAAUAACCAAAGAUCAAGGUCGUUUAAGACCAAAACUCUCUCAUCUUUUCCUUUUGACAUACAUCCUGCCCUUAAUGCAUUUCCAUCCUUAAGUGUUCUUAUUUGGGGUAGCAGGAAAAUGAAGAAAGGAAACUGACAUUUAUGGGCGAGAUGCUUUAUACCGGGUGACCCAUUUAAUCAGCUCAACAGCCUCCUCAAGGAGCUAGUCGCUCACACACAGAGAGAAACUGAGCCUUGUACAUUAAGAAACAUGCUCAGUUCCCAACAACUACUAAUUGGCCAAGAUGAGAUUUGAACUUAAGUAUCUGGCACCAAAGCCCACACUGGUACCAUCUCUUCUCCAUACUACCCACUUACAUUUUGCAGCUAUUGAAUUUCCAAGUAGCAAUGUGUUUUCCAUGCAAAAAUUGCCUCCAUUGACAGCAAACUCAAUUGCUUUGAAACGAUAAGUUUUGAAAAACGUUUAAAACCCAGACAAAGUGGGAGAAAGUGAAGGCAUCUGAACAUAUUCAGCCCGGAAGAGAGGUUUAAGAUCGAGAGCACUUUAAUGAGAGUUUUUGCGGUUCUAAAAGAUCAUUCCACUUCGUAAAAUGCAAAGUAGAACUGGAAAGGCGAUUGUCCACCCUCACCAGGAACUAAUAAAGUACCAGCCCCCAUGCUGUCUUGUGUGGGUUUUAGUUUCCGAAAUAGGCGUAUUUGGUACAUGCCCUGUGAAGUCCUGUCUGAGCCACCUAUUCGGGGAAGAAAGUGGGGCUCAAACACUUCCAAGAAAAGAUUGUGGGUUUUUUUUUAAUCUCUCUUUCAGGUAGCAGCUUCUAACACAAUGCCUAAGACAUGGUUGGUUAGUGCUUUCAAUAUUUGCAUGUUGAAUAAAUGCAGUUGAAUUUAUUAGCGAUUGUUAAACAGAAGAAAGGGUCAUCUAGGAUAUCCUUUGAGAAGCUGAGAAGUUAAGAGGUUAAUUGAUAACUAGAUAUUCCUCCAACUGAGCCGGCUCUGCUAGACUUUCUGCAAUGGUAGGGGCUGAGAAGCUCCACCUCCUGCUCCAAGUCAAUACUAACACGGGGCUAGCUUUACCCCUUGAUAGUUAGCUAAUAGUUGUCCCUCCAGAAGUUUACAAAGAACCAAAUAAAGGUAAAUCACCUAGUCACCAGGGUGGAUGGCAAGCACUGCAAAGAUACUGAACUCUAUUUUCAACAAAGAAUUCAUUCUUUUCAUUCCCAUAAACCAACAUGCUUGAUCCUCACCCCUUGGGGAAAAAAACCCUAAGGUUCAGAACUCUUGAAUUCCAGAACACCCUUCUAAUCCUGCCCCCAGGAGCUGCUUUCUCAUGCAGAUGAGGUACUGGUCUUUCAAAGGGGUUUCAUGAGCUCCUCCAUUUACCUCCCCUCCCCAUACACACACCUUAAUAAACUAUUCAGGAAGUUGUAGGCAGAAGGAAAUUGUAGAUGUCUCAGAAUGCAUAUGCUAAUUUCAAUUG